rnacentral:rRNA from 1 species
GUCGGGAAUAUUGGGCAAUGGGCGAAAGCCUGACCCAGCAACGCCGCGUGAAGGAUGAAGGCCCUCGGGUCGUAAACUUCUGUCGAGAGGGAAGAAUGCUUGCGGGUAAAUAAUCCGUAAGUUUGACGGUACCUCCAAAGGAAGCACCGGCUAACUCCGUGCCAGCAGCCGCGGUAAUACGGAGGGUGCAAGCGUUGUUCGGAUUUAUUGGGCGUAAAGCGAGUGUAGGCGGUUCGACAAGUCGGAUGUGAAAUCCCGAGGCCCAACCUCGGAACUGCAUCCGAUACUGUCAGGCUAGAGUCCCGGAGAGGGUGGCGGAAUUCCCGGUGUAGGGGUGAAAUCCGUAGAUAUCGGGAGGAACACCAGUGGCGAAGGCGGCCACCUGGACGGUGACUGACGC